UAUUUACAGGCUUAGCACAUGCAAGUCGAGGGGCAGCAUGGUCUUAGCUUGCUAAGGCCGAUGGCGACCGGCGCACGGGUGAGUAACACGUAUCCAACCUGCCGUCUACUCUUGGACAGCCUUCUGAAAGGAAGAUUAAUACAAGAUGGCAUCAUGAGUCCGCAUGUUCACAUGAUUAAAGGUAUUCCGGUAGACGAUGGGGAUGCGUUCCAUUAGAUAGUAGGCGGGGUAACGGCCCACCUAGUCUUCGAUGGAUAGGGGUUCUGAGAGGAAGGUCCCCCACAUUGGAACUGAGACACGGUCCAAACUCCUACGGGAGGCAGCAGUGAGGAAUAUUGGUCAAUGGGCGAGAGCCUGAACCAGCCAAGUAGCGUGAAGGAUGACUGCCCUAUGGGUUGUAAACUUCUUUUAUAAAGGAAUAAAGUCGGGUAUGCAUACCCGUUUGCAUGUACUUUAUGAAUAAGGAUCGGCUAACUCCGUGCCAGCAGCCGCGGUAAUACGGAGGAUCCGAGCGUUAUCCGGAUUUAUUGGGUUUAAAGGGAGCGUAGAUGGAUGUUUAAGUCAGUUGUGAAAGUUUGCGGCUCAACCGUAAAAUUGCAGUUGAUACUGGAUAUCUUGAGUGCAGUUGAGGCAGGCGGAAUUCGUGGUGUAGCGGUGAAAUGCUUAGAUAUCACGAAGAACUCCGAUUGCGAAGGCAGCCUGCUAAGCUGCAACUGACAUUGAGGCUCGAAAGUGUGGGUAUCAAACAGGAUUAGAUACCCUGGUAGUCCACACGGUAAACGAUGAAUACUCGCUGUUUGCGAUAUACGGCAAGCGGCCAAGCGAAAGCGUUAAGUAUUCCACCUGGGGAGUACGCCGGCAACGGUGAAACUCAAAGGAAUUGACGGGGGCCCGCACAAGCGGAGGAACAUGUGGUUUAAUUCGAUGAUACGCGAGGAACCUUACCCGGGCUUAAAUUGCAGAUGAAUUACGGUGAAAGCCGUAAGCCGCAAGGCAUCUGUGAAGGUGCUGCAUGGUUGUCGUCAGCUCGUGCCGUGAGGUGUCGGCUUAAGUGCCAUAACGAGCGCAACCCUUGUUGUCAGUUACUAACAGGUUCCGCUGAGGACUCUGACAAGACUGCCAUCGUAAGAUGUGAGGAAGGUGGGGAUGACGUCAAAUCAGCACGGCCCUUACGUCCGGGGCUACACACGUGUUACAAUGGGGGGUACAGAGGGCCGCUACCACGCGAGUGGAUGCCAAUCCCAAAAACCUCUCUCAGUUCGGACUGGAGUCUGCAACCCGACUCCACGAAGCUGGAUUCGCUAGUAAUCGCGCAUCAGCCACGGCGCGGUGAAUACGUUCCCGGGCCUUGUACACACCGCCCGUCAAGCCAUGGGAGCCGGGGGUACCUGAAGUGCGUAACCGCGAGGAGCGCCCUAGGGUAAAACUGGUGACUGG
rnacentral:rRNA from 1 species